GUCAUCUUAUAGAACCCACCCUAUUUUUUAAGUAAAGGACAAUUAUUGUUUCGUUAUAUCUGAUACUGAAGCGAGGUCAUUCAGUAUGACAGCAUUUCCACACCCAAUUGCAAGCAAAAACAAACCUGUAGUGGCUAGUGGGUCUUGCAAAAGCCAAAGUUUCUCCAUUAUAUAACCACUGAGUUAUUCAACAUAAAAAAAACACGUUAAUAUUUAAAUUAUCAGCUGCAGCAAAGGUGUCGAUACUAGACAUUAAUCACUGGCUCAAUAUCAGCCCCUUUAGCUUGGUUCACCUCACAAAAUCAACAGAAAACAUCAAUAUUGGAAUCUUAAGAAGGCAGACCAGUGCCACACCACGCCUCUCUUCCUCUCCUCUUUUCUGUCGCAUCUUUUCUCAUCUUGCACCUUUUCUUUUUCUCCCCCUCCCACACCCACCUUCUUUACUCAGAGAUAAUCAAAUAACCCCUCAAACAGGAUAAAAGCCAUCAGCCAUCCGCACUCUCCUCCCCUCUCUUCAACACACACACACAUGCACACACACACACACACUCACAAGAGAGGGCUGCAUGUCUGUGUUCACCAGAGAGAGGAGAGGGAGUGUAAUCGCCACUGAGCGGUGAGGGAAAUCAAGGGAGGAGAAACAGAAAGAGGGCUGGAUGAUUGAGAGCAAUAAAAGAAGAAAUGGGAGGGGUUUGGGGGAGCUGUUUUAUGUGAAUGGCAUGUUGAGUGAAUAAGUUAUGGCUGAUAAUGCGUCAUCGGGGUCCUGCUUCUUGAAUUUCUUAAGCCUGUCUGCUCCCUCUAGCUUCCACACACAGACGUCCCUCCGCUUUCCCUCUCCGCGGUCUCUCUGUCCUGCUUCACAGUUUAAAAUCCUCACACACCUUCUCUACCUUCUGUUUUCAUCUCUUUCCAUCUCUCCUUCUUUCCAGCGGCAGCCUCACGCUGCACUGAGCCUAUUCUUGGAGAUACCGCAACCCCUCGCCGCCGCACUGGUGAGUGUGUGCGAAAGGAAAAGUGUGUGCAUGCCUCCCUGAUCUAUUAAUACCACCUCUAGUUAUCGCCUUCUCUCUCCACAUCUGUGUGACGGCAGAUGUCUACGAGAGGGUGUGACUAGACCCAGUGUAAAUGUGCAUAGAUGCAUUACAGGCUCUUCUAUUAAUACUAUCUCCAGUAAUCUCUCUCGUCUCACUUUCAGCACAACAUCUGCAGCAAGACACAGUGACAAAACAAGGACAGAGCUGAUCUUCACAUACACACACACAAACAAACACAUCUCCAGACCAAUUAAUAAACGUCUGAUGGACCGGAUUCUUCCUCUGCAGUUACCGUUUAAUUAUCAGAGAGGAAGAUGUGAAAGGAGUGACGGCAACACAUAGAGAGAGGUGUUAUAAAGAAAAUUGUUCCUGUUCUGUCUUGUUUCUAGGAAAGGAUAUCAGAGCCAGGGCUUUAUUCCUGAAGUCCACCACUGUGUAGCUGCUAACUAAUGGAUCCACAAAGCUGAUCAUGUGAUGUCUGCACUGGGUGCACUCCUCAGCUGUAACCUUGUUGGUUAUAAUGUCGAGCCCCUGGUACACCUGAGGAAGGAAGCAAAAGAAACAGAUUUAUGUCAUUAGCAAAAUUUCUGAAAAUUUGAGGGAUUGGAUAAUCUGAAUCCACUGUUUAUAUGGGUGCAAAAUAAAAAAAAAAACAUGAUCAUGACAUGUGUAUACAUGCAUCAAGCUUUAUUCAGAUUAGAAGCAUUUGGACAUGAGCAGAGUUGUCUGAUUUCGCUAAAACAACCACAGAAGAAGAGUUGUAUUUACCCCUGUUCUGUCAACAAACCAACAAACACAGUAGUGGCUCAUUCCAUCCAAUUCAGGAUUUUGCCCUCUGUUAAAUGUUAUCAUUAGAUGGCGCCCUUGCGUACUUAUUUUACCGUUUUGCCAAAUGUUGUACUGUGCGUGCAGAUGUGACAUUAUUAUGCUGUAUAUACAUCUUGUUAUGUUACUGAAGGAGAAGGCAUGGUACCUGCGGUUGUGUUUUAUGCCAGAGUGUUAAUAAUGAAACCUCCUGUACUGACCUCAAUAAAUAAACCAAAGGCUAAAGAGUGAAGAUCGGGACAGGUAAGAGAGUCACGAUCGGAAUAAGUGUUUACAUGGAUGCGUUUCGGAAUAACGAUCGGCAUAAACCACCCCUCUUGAUCGGAAUAUAAUUUCUUUCUAAUUGAGCCAAACUGGAUCAGAAUGUUCCAAUCGACAUGUUUGCAUGACGCAUUUUUAUUCAGAUCAGGCAUUUAUCCAGAUUAUUUGUGCCCAUGUAAACAUAUCUAAUGAAAAUAACCUUAGAUGGUAACAGGGAUUGGUCUUAAGUGUUAAAUUCUGCAAUCUAAGAAAAGAUAUUUGAUGGAAAUUCUUUGACUCAGAGAGCAAGCGUGUGUCUCUGAAUGUGUUUUUAAUUGAAGGUAUUUGACAGUUUCAGGAGCUGGAAACAGGCUGUUUAACGGAGCAAAUGAGAGCCGGAGCCUGCCCUCCAACUGAAAUAACAGAGAGGCAUUCCAGCAAAUUAUGAAACGCACCUCCUCUGUCCAUUUUACAUCAACCAGUGAGGAGGCACCCUGAUGGAAUUUGACAGCUGGGUGUCAUACAGUAGUGGGCCAUGAUUUCCAUCUUCACAUACACACAAACGCACACACUGGAGACUUUUAAAGAGAUGUCUCUGGAGAGGGUUUUUCUUCAUCUCCACCAGGAAAAUAACUUUGUUUUUCCUUGCUUUCAUACCGUGUAUCAAUCUGAAAACCCAGCCCGGAACAGUUCUUCCUUUACCUUAAAUGCACUUCCUGAUUGGACUGGGGCCCAGAGGUUUAUAUUUCACUGUAAAUAUGAAUUGAAGAAACGUCUACACUUCAUUCUUUAUCCUUCUUGGACAUUUUAUCAAUUCAUAUAUUUAUAUUUUGUCUGAAGGAUCAGAUUAUUAUUGUUGGUCAUUGUUGUACUUUUAUUCUUUUCUUAAAUAAAGUACUGAAAUUUUCACACCAGUAACUCAGUGACCAAAAAGUUUGUAUUUUCUGCACUACAGUAAGAAAAAGCUAACCUUAGCUUCUUUAUUGUUUAAAAGGAACAACUACACACAGAUAUGGACAGUACUUGUUAGUCUCCACCUCAGACGUGAGGGUUUCCACUUUCAGCUCGGAAAAGUUUCGCUUCUUUCUAAUAUUCCUCCUCUCCAUGUUUGACCUCAGUGGGCGAAGCUUCUGAACGACGAAUAUUUAUGGGUGUGACAUGUUAAUGACGAUCGAUUUCAGCCGCCGCAUUUAUCAAGACCCGAUCAUUCGUACGCCACGUACGAGUUUGAUAAAUGAGGGCCAAUAUGUGCUGCUGCAGCAUCAUGCACACAGAUACACACCCAUCUGCUGUUACACGUGUUACACUGUCAAAGUUCAUACAAGAAAAAACUGUUACGUUUUAUGUUACUCAUUCAAAGAGGUUACAAAUGUUCGUUAAAUUAUAAAAGCGUAUGAUUCAGAUUAUACGAUUACAUAUGUGUAUAAUUCAGACUGAUCAGCAGAUCCUUUCAAAGCACUUGGGAGAGAGUUCAGGUCUAUCUGACUGUGAUGACUUACAACUAAGUCUCAAGGUGCAGUUACACUCACAGAUACAGGAGAGGUGUAAUAUUUAUAUCAUCAAUGGUUUUCUUUUUUGGGGCACACCAGAAAAAUAAUCUGAUCAUCCAGGGCUGGGCGAUAAACCAAAAAUUUACCGAUACCGAAAUUUACGACAAUAACCGACAGUAUUUUGCCCAUAUCGGUAUAUUCUGUGUCAAAUCAAUCAAUAAAUAAAAGUUGGUUUUAAAUGUGUGUAGGUAGGCUAUGGUCUCAUGUCCCUUUAAGACGCUGUCUUACAUCGGAGACGUGACUCCACCCAAGUCCGUAACAAAGAGGGAAAGACAGGUGAGGAGAUGGAGGACGGUUCAAAAGUUGUAGUGGAGUGGCGGUUGAAGUAGACAAAGUCAAUGUGGGAGGGGGUGAGCAGCUUGUGGAGUAGUUAUCGUCCAUUUAUUGUUAUUGAGGUGAACUGCUCAAUAUAUCGUGAUAUUGAUUUGAGGCCAUAUCGCCCAGCCCUAUGAUCAUCAGAUCACACAAAUGCAUAUAAUCCAAGCUGAGAGGUGCCGGAGAUGACAAGGUGAUGUUUCACAUGCAGUUUGGUUUUAACUCCAGUGAGGGUAGAGUAAAAGACUUCUUGUAUCAGGGCCUCGAUCACUCUGAGGAAAGCGUCCUUGAAAACCAAGAAGUGAAAUACCCAGAAUUGAACACAAAGAUAGCAAACACUAAACGAAGUGGAAUUUUGCAGUUUAUAACACUCAUAACACUCAUAUGGGGUGAAAUAUCACCAUCUUCCUCAUUAAUCAUGUAUAUGCAGCUUAAUGGCUGAGAUCCCUGCAAAAAAGCAUCUGUGUGUAGUCUACCACCAGCCAUUCAAAGCACGCCUGUGUGGCUCAGAUCGUGUGUCAGUCUGUGCCAGGAAAACUUUAUGAAUCUCCUCUGAGUCAAAAACCUUCCCGACAGUUUUAAGAGUGGGCUGAACGCUCUGGUGUGAAGAAAAGCCUUGAUAGAAAUAAUGAUUAAAAGAAAGAGACUUGGUUAAAGCUGACUAUUGUUCAUUAAUCCAGAAAGAGAAAAUACAGACUUUAAUCAGCAGUCAGUCAGACAGCACAUGAACACAUGAGUAUUAUGUUCACAACAUCAAAGAACUGAUCAAAGAAGUUUCUCCUGACUUGACUCCUGACUCGGGAGCUAUAAAAAGUGCAAACGUUUAGAGACAAACAGUACAUUGUAAGUUAUGGAGUUUGGGUUUUGGACUCUGCCUUGAGAUGCUGGAGUCAACUAGAAGGCAGUGCAGUGGGUAGAAGUGAAAAAACCACAGAUGGGAAAGUCACAGCCUUCUCUUUAAGAGAAUAAAGCAUAUGAUGAAACCACAGUUCAACAAACAUGACCAGGCAUGACAGGCCUGUCAAGCUCUAACUUUCCUUGUUUCCAGUGAUUUACUUUGGGAUGUUUUCAGGGACUCAGCCCCGUCAGAACUUGGAUUGAGAUGUCUUUUUAUGACCUUUCCCCAAACCAAACAUUUGCAAAGGUCUGAUCCAACUGUGGGUUUUAACCUGCACUUUACUGAGCCACAUUCCUUGGUAUAUCCAGCUAGCUAUCUUAACAGGGUCUUACCUUUAAGCCUCAUUUUUAGCAACAUGGUAACCCAACGCAGAAUCAGAUUCAGAACUGGCUCCUACAUUGAUGAGAGUUUCCUAACAUAAGGUGUGUUGAAAAUUUUCUGUAGUUUCUGGUUGGUUUCUACUGUCCGAUAUUGUAGCACGCUAACUUUGUUUGGGCUCGUGAAUGUUAUUCGAGGACGUGGAGCGUGAGGGACAUGAGGGAGCAGCGUCCACCUCACAACCAAUCAGGUCGGGGAAGUGGAGAACGACUUUGUUUACAGUCAGAAAGAGCAGGACGCUCAAAAAUUUUUAAAUGUUGACUACAAGGACAUUAAAGAACACAGCGAUAUCGUUAUAUUACCAAGUGUCAUCAAUAACUAAUAGCUAUUGACUGAUAUUGAACGCUUUUUUGUAUAUACACCACAAAAAAGAUGCUUCUUUAACAGAUUCCUGCCUACCCCACCUUUAAUCACGAUCAUAUAAUCGACCAGUCCUAUAAAGAACUCAACUCUGACAAUUCUCACCACCAACACCAACAACGACUUCAAUCAAAGCCUUGCUGUUGUCUCUGUCAAAAAUAAAGGAACAGCUCAUUUGGGAGUGCAUUUUGUUUCGGAAGUACUUUGUCUUUCAAGAUGUGCCCACAUCUUCUUAACUACAUCCUAAUUUAUUAAACAAACAUCUUCUAAUCGUCUGAAGCUUGUGUUACAGGGUACGAUUACUAUUUAACCUAACAUACAUGCUUUGUGUACUCAGUACAGCUGUGCGGGUUAUUGAUCAUGCCCUUGGUGAAAGUGUGUGUGUGGGUUGCGUGCACUUCACCAAAUGUUCUCCAUCACCGCGGCGAGCCAAAAGUGGGGAGCGGGGCAGGGCAGAACAACCCAGCCUGAUAAAUUAUUCACUGCUUCUCUGCACGACACCACUGUCAGCCAAGGAGGGGAUGGAUGCAUGGAUGGAUGGAUAGAUAGAUGAAGGUAGAAAGAGGUAGGAGGACUUGAAGGAGUUUCUCGGAAAGAAAAAGAGCGUCAGAGAGGAUUCAAGAGAACAGGAGCUGAGCGGACAUAAGAGGAGACAGAAGAGCGAUGUGUACUUGUGACAGAGAACAGGAUGCUCCCUGACAAAUUUGCACACAUUAUCUCCACCACCACCACCCCUCCUUUGCCUUUCCCGUUCUCACUCUCUCUCUGCCAAACACACUAGCACACAGACUGUGCAGAUUGGAGACAGACUGAUGGGUAGCAGGAGUACAGAAGUAUGGUGAGAGAAAGAGGGAUGCUCAGAAAUGACGGCUUCAAGUUGGUUUGUGCGGGAAGAGAGCUUUAAACCAUGUUCUCACCAGGUAUCAUCAUCUAUCCUCCAUGAUUAAACGACAAGAGCCUGAAGUACAGGAGUUAAAUUAUCCAAGACGCAUUGACAACUCAGGAAAUCUGACAGCAAAGAACAUCAUGUUGUAGAGGGCUGCAGCGCAAAUGUUGCAAAUGUCCUCUAAGCUCUUUGUUUAGUGCAACUGUGGCCAGAUUGAAAGAUCAUCCAAAUACCGUAACCAAGGCAACAAUUAGACAGAGAGAAACACAACCUGCCUUUUUAUCUUUUGAUUCAACAGUAUCUGCUUUAACUUUUUAAGUCAUUAUUUUCCAUGCCACUUAUGGGUUUUUUUUAUCAUCUUAGCACUUGCUGUGAGCCUCCUUAUUUAUACAUUUAUUUAUUCUUUUGCAUUGAUGUAUUUCUGCUCGCUUUAUCUUGUUCUUUGAUUGUUUUAUUUGUUUUUAUGUGUCAUUGUACAGCACUUUGGCUACCCUUGUGGUUCUUUUAAAUGUGCUAUAGAAAUAAAGUUGAUUGAUUGAUUGAAAUAGUACACAUUAACGUAAAUGAUAAGAGUAAUAAAGUGCGUUCAAUUUCAAUACCGGACGAGCCUGUAGAGACACAGCAGAAGACUAAGGAUGUGAUUCAGAUUUACAUCAUCAUAGUUUGUAAUAAUGUGGUGGAGUGAGGAUGCAACCUUUGUGAAAAGAGAUAAUAGGAUAUUGGGAAUCCUGCUAAUGUAUAAUGAUGUUCAUAUACUUUGCUGAUAAACUACAACCACAGUCAAUAUUGGUGCCUUUACAACAUCGUACAGACACCACAAGGAGACUUUGCUUAUCUUUCUUCUACAUGCUCAAGUAGUUGCUUCCAAAAUAAAAUAUCAUCAUGGUGACUUUUGACAGUCAAAUACACUGGAGUUCAUUGUAAAUAUUUCAUCUGGAAAUUGCAUAAUUGUAUUGGGCUGUUACUUAAGCUGCUCAGCUGACACCGACUAUCUUGCAUAUUUCAGGCAUUAAAAAAUACGGAUAUAAAAUCCCUAAUCAUGUUGCUUAUGGUCUUGUUGGCCUUUGGCCAUAAAGUAUAAAAAAAUCAGACAAUCACUCUGAUGUAAAAUCUCUUUAUAGGAGCUUUGUUAUGAGAGAUUUAUUAUCACUUCCACACUAAGGUCUUUAUCAGCUCAGCCCCUCUAUCCAGCUCAUCCAUGACAGUGCACUCCCUCCAACUUCCUACUGUGUCUGGCUGAUAUUUAUCAGCUAAAUUUUAUUUUUGAGAAAAUGUUAGGCACAUUAAUCUCAAAGGAAAAUAAAAUUUGAUGACAAGUUUCCACACCAGAAACUAGCGUCGUAGUCAAGACCGCACCAACCGAGACCAGAGAGGACCGAGACCGAGACAAGACCGAGUGAAAAUGCCUUCGAUUCCGAGACGACACCAAGACCCUCAAAAACUGGUCUCAAGACCAAGACCGAUCUCGAGUACUGCAACACUACCAGAAACAUCAGCUCAUAUCUAAUACUGGGUAUGAAGUGAUGUAUUCCAAGCUGUAAACCUGUGUUGGCUUCAAAAACACUUAAAAACAGCUAUAAUGAGGGUUUCUGUAUCUGUUGUGUUGAUCCAAUCUUUUACCAGAUUGACAGACUCACAUUUCCAGCACGAUGGCAACCAAAAUCUAUUUUUUGAACGCUUGCACAAAGAAAUAUCUUAUUUUUUCUGAGUAGGUUCCUAUUGGCUAAAGUUUGGUGUAAAUGCCAUUAAUCUACCAAGAGGGCACCCAUGAAAGUAAACCACGUGAUAUCUUCCAUAAGUUUGCUUUUUAUUUACCCUUCCUCGUCUAUACUAUACUAUAUUAGGGCUGCAGCUAUCGAUUAUUUUAGUAAUCGAGUACUCUAUCGAUUAAUCUGUCGAUUAAUCGAGUAAUCGGAUAAGAAAUGUUUUGCUCUCACUGUAAUACUUUGCAUUGAAUCACGUUUGCCUCAUUAAAAACCAUCAGUAACACACAAAACUGAAAUAGGCCAGGUCUUUCAAAUGAAUAUUUUUACUGCAUAAAUCAGGAACCAAAAGUUUUACAUUUUACCAUGUAGUUCACAUGAAACUACUGAAGGCAAGGUCUGCAGAUGGUCUUUUAAUUGCUAUGGUAAUGAUCUUUGCAGUUUUCACUAAACCAGUCACAACUAUUUCCAGGCUUUGGAUCUAAUUUUACUUGUUUAAUUAAUAGGCUGAAAUAAUAUAAUUCUUGGAUACUAACAUAAUUUGACAAGCAAAUGUACAUUUAUUCAAUAUAUAAAAGUGUUACAUUUUUAUUUACAUGUUGUUGUGUGUUGGUCAUUUUGCAGCCCUCUGCUGCUCAUCACACGCCUAGCAGGUGGUGUAUAGCAUUAUCACCAUGGAUACACGGAUGUUUGUGUGAUUUUUUUCAUCCACUGCCGCCCGGUUUGUGUCGUGUAGAUGUUAAUUAUGAAAACACUUCGCAAUAAUUUGGAAACGUGAAGGGGGAGCUGCUGCUGCCCGGUGUUUACGGUAAAUAGACGCAAACACCGACCAAGUGGACGCUUCGGUCUCCGAAAACGCCGAGACAAAUUUACAAACAGCCACUAUUUCAAACAACUGGGCUCAUAAUCGUGAUGUAAACACUUACUUUCUCGCUAGAAAAAAUAUUAUUAUUGAAUGAAUUUAUAUAAUUUGUCCGGUAUGCAGUCGUUCUAUGUAGCUUGUGGUAGGACUAUUUAAAUUUUCCCGGCGCUGCGUCCGGCCGGCACGAAAUGCAUUCUGGGGUAUUUAGUAUGUAUGUGUGUAAACGCUCGGGCAGCCGCGGCAUACUCAAAUCAUCUUUGAGUAGUCAGUAGGCAGUAGCUACUGCUUGAGUAGGUAAGUAGAUAGCAGGCAGUAUGCCAUUUCGGACACAGCUUCUGUCUGUCCUCGUUUCCCUCCAUGAUUGAACCAAACGCGCGGCAGCGGAAGGAGCGGAAAGAGCACGCUUCUGCGCAACAGAAAUAACCGUCCGUGUCAAACACCGUGCGCUGCACAUGGUUCCGGAUUUAAACGAUUCCUCGAGGCAUAUAUUUUGCCUCGAGGAAUUUUAUUAAUCGAGUUACUCGAGUUACUCGAGUAAUCGUUUCAGCCCUAUACUAUAUUAUACUAUAUUAUUAUAUUAUACUAUUCUAUACUGCUCAGCAGCAGUAUAGAAAUGUCCUCUCAUCAAUCCAUUCUCCUCCUCAUCCUCACAGUCCUUGUCAUUUUCUCCUUUGUUACAUGUUGUUUAGUGUGUAGAUAUGAGUUAACCCUCACAUAAAUACUCCUCAAUGUAUUUACAGAUUUUGGUGCAAGUGUGUUUAAAAAAAACAGGCCGUGAUUAUUUCAAUUUUGCCGUAACGAGGACAAGGAGGCCCAAGAGUACAAGCCGGCUGAAGACGACGCAAAUGUAAAGCAGACAAAUGAAAAGAGCCACUUGAGUGGAGAAGAUGAAGACAAAAUGCUUUGAGGGGGAGCUGCAAAUGAGAGGGCAAAUGCGAAAGAAAUGAAGGCGGUAGCAAUGUUACAGCUCAGAGUUGUAAAAGCAUAAAGACUGAAAUCUUUUGUGUUUACAAAUUUAUUUUUAUCAAACUGUGAGAAAAUGUCUCAAUAUAAUAUGAAUGAGUGAAUGGCAGGCAAGCAAUUUUUCAAUAAAUGCUCCAAGUGAUGCACAAAUAGAUCAUUUGGUAGAGGGUAGAUGUGGAGAGACAAAAGUGGGAAACGUUAAGUAAUUAUUAGUCCGUCCAGAUCAGGUUGUUGUUAUUCUUUGGUGUCAUAUUGCACAUUAUCAGUCAACUAAAUAUCAUAAGAAACAAGCAAAAAGCAGUUCUUCAUAAAAACUGAGUGUAUUCAUGGAAGUAAGUAAAAUAAAUUUUGUUAACUUUGUUACAAUCCGUUGCAAUCUCUGAAUUUCUUACACAGCUCUGUUAAACACUCUGAUUGGUCAGUUCUCCAUAGCAACAGUCUGUUAUGUUAAGGCUGCUAUUGGCAAACGAUUGCUUUACAGAAACCGCUGUUGCAUGGGACAAUCUAACACCUGGUGUUAAAUCACUCUGGCAAAAGAAGUCUGGUACAUUUCACCUCUGCCUGUUGACACUGUGGCGAAAAAUGUAAAAGGAGUUGUUAGUUCUCUAAAUCAGAAAACAACAUGGAGGAUUUUUGUUUUUAUCAUUUGUAAACUCAGAAGGAAGAGGAAAAAAAAACAAGAGAAGAGGUAAAAGCACAAGGGAAUCUUUGCACAACAUAACGGAGAAAUUGACAAGCACUGAAUGAAGUGAACACCUGGUGAUACUACAGUUUUGAAGACGAUCGACUAAAUGUUAAAGAAAAUGUCACAGAGCUGUGCGGUGAAGAGGCAGAGAAACACCCAGAUGCUGCACUGACGGUGUUCUCCAUAUAAAUUACAAAAUGAAGUAAAGGACAUGAUCCAUAAGCACUGCUAGAGUGAUUAUCUGUGUAAGUCUGAUCAGUCUUGUGGAAAAGCAAGGAGAACUUUUUCAUCAGAGCAGCAGUUUCUGGUUAACUCAUAAUCAGUGAUUCACUAUUUAUUGCAGUAUGACAAAUACAGUAAUUCAUGCAUUUCUCAUAUAGAGGUAUGCCUUUUUCAAUACUAUUCCCAGGUCCAGAAAACAGUCAUUAAUAUGUCAAUCAGUUUGAACUCUCACCUUUGUGUCUCUCUGUGACUAUUUUAACAAUAAUAACUCUCUACUUCAUUUUAUCCUUUUAUUAUCAACAUCUAUUCUUAAACAACCGUGCAUGGUAGUGCUGAGCUCUUUAAUAACAUAUUCACACGCUGUAAUCGAGAUGCAAUAGGCCUACAUAUUUAUUAAAAUAAUCAUCAAACUCUUGAACACUCUGAUGGUGCUGCAGAAACAGAGAAUACAACAAUCAGACAGAGUGAAUGUGAAUAAGAACAAAAGUGCAGAUGUGAAUGCAAAUGGGAUCAGAGUCGGGUGUCGCUUUGUGUAUCUAUGAUGGCUGUGAAGUCUAGUCUCGAUUAACAGAAAACAAAUUGUUGCAUCCACCUUUCGCAUAUGAAUGACCUCUCAACAGGUUAAAUUUGCAUCUAGAGAUCAGUGUAUUACGUUAGAUGCUACUAUCUGAAGGGACACUCUACUAUUACACAAACAAGCAAGAUGCUCUCAGCAAAAUGCUCUUCUUUGGCAGUUUAGCUGCACCUUUACUGCUGGUUUGAUACGGCACAGACACUACAUUGGUGUGUUGCCAUUAUCGCAGUUAAAAACAACAGUUUUACCAAGUACUGUCCUUGGUGUAUAGGGUACUAUCUUAACAGGUUGAAGGCAAAAGAAAUCUGCACCACAGUGAGUGGUAGAAGGAAUAGAGAUGAUUGCGCCAUAAUUGCAGACAGGCCUACAGCACGGCACCCACGCUACAUAAGUGAUUUUUGUGUGUGUGUGUGUGUGUGUGUGUGUGUGUGUGUGUGUGUGUAGCAUUUGUUUUGGAGUUAGGAUUAUUACAAGAUCAGCAAAUCAGAGACUCAGCUGACAGGUUGGCACACUGUAGCAAUUUGCGAGGAGGCCAAAGGUUCACCUCUGGUAGGUUGACUGAAUGUUAGGUUGAGUCAGCGUAACCGUUAUGGCGUACACUGGCUUCAUUCACCAUAUUGGUUAAAAACUCAGUUUCAGAAACACAUGUGUUACGGACACUACUAUGAUCGUGAUGUGUGUUGUAUCAUGGUUAAAAUUACACCCCUUGUUUAAAGCUCUAACUAUAACUGUAACAGAGGUAACAGUCCUUUCUAAUCAAUCAAUCCCAAACAAUAUUUUGUGUGACACAGUUGAUUAAUAAGGAGCUGUGUGAAGGCUAAAACAUACAGAAUCCGUAUUUAGCGUGUAUUGGCAGCGUUGCGUAUCACGCGGCAAACAGGUUGCCAUCCUCAUCAAUGCAGCAUCGCUUACAGGACGUGUAUCAGCUCCAUGUCAUAAGCAUAUUGAGAGCAGCACUGCUAAAAUAUGCGACGAGUCUAUUUUUGGCUGCUCUACGCUUCCAGUGCGCGUCAAUCCACACAGAGAAGAUUGUUCUAGACAGGAUGUCAAGCUCGAAAACCGCACAUGUCAUCUGUAAUUUCAAAAUUAAACACCACAUGCAAACUCUUAACUGUGUAUCAGAUUGUGUAGAUGAGAAAUACUUCCUGGUUAUGGAUUUAUUAGUAUCACAGAACAAUCCGAUGGUCAAUCCCUGAUCCAUGUGGACCCUAACAGGACUUUAUUAAACACAAGUAAAACUGCAAAAACCAAAACUGUAAAAUCACGCUUUUUCACAUAGAGUAGAAGCUCAACAGUCACUGAAUUAUAUCCAAAUUAGCAGGAAAUCGACCACGGAAAGGCAAAAAAACAACCUGUUGUGAGCAUGUCGCCUCUUCUAUACUGAGCCUAGCUGACCGGAGCCGCACUACACUGCUGCCACGCUCCAAAUACGCAUCCUGUGUGCGAUACCCAGGGCUGCUCUAUGGAGCAAAUAGGGAACACACUCAAUAUGGAUCCUGUAUGUUUUCGGCUUAAGAUUCACACUGGAGUCCUGCUCACCCUGUCAGGGUUCCACUCAACUGUGACAACCCACUCACUACACUUCAUCCCUGACAUUUUACAUUACUUUUUCAUUGACAAAGAAAAACUAAAAGGACUACAAGUGAAGUUGCCUGGAAAGUGGUUCGGGAGAUGCUUCCUACACAAUCCCCUUCUC